CGCCCCUAAAACGUCACUUCCGCUCUUCUGUAAUAUGCAGGCGGGAAACCCAAAGCGUUUUUCUAGGAACCCUGAAAUCUACACUAAUUCAAUAGUUACCACUGCUGGCCAUUAUUGCUCCUCCUCUGGACAUUCGCAGUGAUGAAGCUACAUACAGAGAAGUUGUCUGCAUGAAUGACAACCCAGAUCUCCCCAUCCAUAGAGAUUUAAAGAACCUCCCAGCUCACCGCUUGAUCUUCUGGAAACCUUUGUGGAAACAUUACGAGCCCUUGUAGGACACAACAGUGCAGCAGCUUGGAGGAAAGUGUGGACUGAAACCACCAUUUGGAAUAAACAUUUAAUUUACUGAUCCAACAAUAAAGCCUUCUGGUUUUACCCUUUGGUGAAAAACAUGGAAGACUUUAAAUUGGAUCUGAACCAGGCAUGGCCGCUGCUGUCAUUUGAUGCACAAGUGGUAUAUCAUGUUAAGAAGUCUGCAAAACGUGACUGGCAAUCCUGAUCAAACUAUGGACCCCAUAACAACUCUCUGCCUUCUAUACAAUUUUGAUGGUGACAUUGCAGAGAUACAUUCCCUCUUCUUAAGAGCAUUAGACUGGUUAACUAACCUUAAACUGGACUUACAAUUGUUGCUCCAAGUCAGCCAGAUGAAAGAAGAAUUUCUUUCCUUUUAUGUAGAAAGAGCCACACAGUUGCACAGUGAUCAUCCCACAUCUUCUAGUCCCUGAUGUUUUUCUCAUGACUACUGCCUCCUGUGACUUCUGCCUUAUGUACUAGUUCAGAGGUUGAGUAGCCAGGAGCAAAAAAUGAGGAAGGUGGUACAUACUUGGGAGCAUCAGAGUAAGGGAGAUUUUGGCUAGAAAGGAGCAUGCUGGGACAGCCUGGAACUGAAUCUAGGAAUCCUUUUGCUCAAGUUUAGCUGCUGUAACAAUUUGGGACAAGGAGCCUUGCUUGAUUUCCAGUCCUCUAAUCUAACCAUUACAUCAUGUCUGUCUGCUAGUGAAUGUUGUUUAUAUGAGGUGGGAGGGAAAAUAAGUUGUUUAAGACUAGUUGUCAUGACCUGAGAAAACAGAUUUGAGGGGAAAGAAUACCUUGGUUCUUUCAGGAGUCAGGUGGUACCAGGGUAGGCAUGCUGGCUUGCCUGCAGGCCAUCAGUCAUGUCUGGGUCAGAGUCCCUCCCUCUUUUUCUCUGGUCCAAGGACAAAGCCCUGGCUCUUUUGCUGACAAGCAUGGGAUUGCGGUUGACAAGCAUUGGAUUGUGGUUUUGUCUCUUGGUUUAAAAUCGGUGAUAGGGGAAUGUUUCUGGGGAGUUCUGAAGGUGCCCUGCUCUUAGUGACAAGUUCAGGAAAUGAGGGAGAAUGGGAAUACAAAGUCUGGUGAAUACCAGAAGCUCCAAGAAGUCAGCAUAGUCAAGUACCACAGCUGGUAUUUGCUGUUAGGAAGCAAAUACCUGGAAACUGAAAAAUCUCUUGACCAAGUGGUAAGUAAAUGAAUUGCAUUGAGUGAAGGCUUGGAAACAGCCAGGCUAGCUUUAUGGAUGAUCUGGCUUCCCAGGCUUUUGGAUACCUCUUCUUUCUAUCCACUUUCAACAGGCACCCAAGUUUUCCUUACAAAGUGAUCUGCUAUACCCCACUCCCAGCCCCCCAGUCAAUUAUGAAAUUCUAAUUUCCAUUUAGUUGCCUUGAGCUUCUAUGUUCCUACCUAUAGAAAUCCUUCUGAUGCCGAAUAACGACAAUACACUGACUUCUGUACCAGUUGCUAAAAUUAUCUGCAUCUCUACUGAGAGUAAGCACCCUGAGUUACUUAUUGUUGUACUGUCUUGCCCCAGAUGUGCUCUGGUUAUUUUGGUUCCAUAUCUAUCUGUUCACACAGGCUCUUUAAAUUCCAAGGCUAGUCUGGCAGGAAAACCUUAGAUAGUACCCAUUUAAUUACAGACUAUAGAUUCCAUGGAAAGGAGGAGUGGGGUUGGAAUAGACUAUGCUUCUUUAUAGGAGGCCUGAUAGAUAGAUGUUAGAGUAAGAGACACUGUGGCCUUGGAAAGGUACCAAAUGACAGAAACGGAGUUGUAGAGGUGAAAGAAGGGCAGCAACAAAACAAAAGGAUUUCAUCCUGUCAAAUGAUUUAAGGGCACUAUGAAGGAGCUUUUAUAAAAGACAGAGGGGUGCAUGAGGUGAGAGGGAGAAUGAGUUCAUAACUAAUGACCGUGUUUAUGGUCUCCUGUCCCUAUAUGAAUUGUGGUGAUAGAUAGGGCUGUCCUAUGGGAAUUGUAACAUGCAAUUUGUGCUACAUUUUGGUCCAGUGUUGGAGAGAUCUCCUAAACCAAUUAUAGGAAUGAUGGUUUAGACCAGUGGUGCCCAACCCCUUUACCCCCUGGGGCAGAUGAGUGGAGCCAAGUGAGCUGGAUUUGGUCCACAGGCCUGAUGCUGACCCAGCCAGGAGUGAUCCAGCUAUGUGGGGCCUAGGUGUAAUCCAAUGGCUCUUGGCUGCUGAAGAUCAUGCCCAGGCCUGAUUCAGUUGCACAGGCCUUGGAAAUUUGGCAGCAGAGUGGCAGCAUGUUAAUUGCCACCAUUCCUCCCGCCAACAAUUUCUGGAACCAUGGAGAACUCCACAGGCUGACUGACGUGGCUUUGCAGGCUGUAUCUGUCCUGCAGGCUGGGGUUUGAGCUUCCCUGGUUUAGACUAAGGGUAUGUCUGUGCUGUUUCUGCAGCACUUUUGAGUGUUGCUUUCAAAUAUGCCCCUGCUCAUACCAACUCCACAUGUGCCCAACCAAAAAAUGAGGUGACAGCCAUUUUUGGGGCUUCCACACUAUAGUCCCUGUUUUCUUCUCUUCUCCUUCCCACCCAUCAUGUAUUAUCUCCUGUUCCCUUUUUUCUCUUCCUUUUCCCUUUCUCAUCAACUGUUGCACUGUUCAUACAUUUCAGAUAAUUUUAUAUCAAGCUAUGCAUAAAAGAUAUCAGCAAAAACACAAAUGAAAGAGUUGACGUUGCAAACCCUUACUCAUGUUAUUGUAUUUAAUAAAAAAAAUGUACGCAGACCUACAUAUCAGGGACUGGCUCCCAGUGGAGGAAUCAAACGGUAGCUUUUCCCACAAGGUUUUAUUUUUAAAACUCUGCCUAGGAAUGAUAUUUUUGUCCCCAAAGCUGUAAUAGCAGUUGAACAGUCAGGCUAUACAAUCAGACUUUUUCUUUUAACUGAAGUCAUCUGUCUUUAAUUAAAUAAAGUCAAAAUCUGCCAUUUUGAGUGGAAAACUUUUCUGGCUGUGGCACUACAAGAGCUGUGAACUUGUAGCAGCUGCUGUGGUGGUUUUGAAAUCCUUCCUUCAAAAACACUUAGUCAGUGAGCUGCACACAGCUUGCUUUGUCUCUAGGUAUUUUUUGUUAAUUCAAGGUCUGGUUUUAAAAUGUACAAAGGCUUCUUACAAUGUUCUUACAUGAAAGUACACAGUCUUCUAAACUGAGAAGCCCAAUCUGAAGACCACUGCUACUUGUGCAAAAAGACCAUGAUGCCACUAAACCCUGAAAAUUCAUGUCAUGAUGGACCACCCUAGGCAGUAUUCACCCCAAAUGUCAUUAAAUGUAAAUCUAGCUGCAACAGAAUAAUUGCACUGGCAGUGUAACUGUGAAAAGAACAAAGUGUUUUUCUUCAACCUUUUGGCUCUGGGCCAGAGGAGUGGCAUGGGUCAGUCUGAAGGCAAAGUUGGGCCCUGUGUCAGGAUCAGACCAGUGCUACCUCUGCCCAGUCCUGAAUGCCCAGAUUGGGCCCCAGGCAGUCUCGACUGGCCCUUGUGUGCCCAGAUUGGACUGCAUAAUGGUCCCACACCAAGAUUAGACCCUGGUGCUUGUUGGCCUAUAUUUUACAUGGGCAGGUACAACCACCUUAAUGACCAAUCACAACACUUCCAUUCGAUUAACAGGAGGCUUUUAUUGAUGCACAGUAGUGGUAGAUGAUAACUAAAGCAAGCAAGCAAUUAAGCACGUCUUGCCAUCCACCAGUUGUAGUGCCCUCAAAGUCAAUGGGUGUCUGGGCAGGAACAUUACUCUCUUGUUUGGUUUCAGGAACUUCAGAGCAGGAGAGUUCUUGGUUGCUUAAAGGUUCUCCUUGUAUACCUGUGUCCUUUUGCUUAUGCCAUACCAGCACUCAGUUCCUGUUAUUCCAUUGGCUCCUUCCCUCUGUUCACGCUGUCUUUAGACCACUAAGGCCUUUGUUCCUGUGCUAUUCAUGUGUUACUGUUCAUGAGCACUAGUUUCUCUUUAUCUUGUCCCAGCUGGUUUCGCUUAGUUUUGCAACUGUGCUGACUAGCUGAUAGUAACUUCUACUAUCUUUUCUUUUUGUGUGAUCAAGGUCCCCAGACACUACUGGAUGUGCCAAACAUAGUCCUAAUUGCCUCUAGCCAGUUUCUACUUGUAGCUUGACCUUCUAAGUAUUCAGUUGCUGCUGGUUUUUACUACCAUCAGUGCCCUGUGUUGCUACUGCCUGGCCCCAUAUGCCGGGAUCUGGUCACACAUACCAGGAUCAGGGCCUGCACACCUGACCUAGCAUGCAGGGUCAAGCUCUCCAGCCCAUGGAGCUCCUUACAGGUCCGAAAAUUUGGUAGCAAGGGAGAGGUGCCACUGCUCCCCUGCUCCCAAAUAUUUGGACCAGUGGGAAGCCCCACAGGCUGGAGGACAUGGUGCUGAGGGCUGAACACCCCCAUUUUAGGCUUAUAACAGAAUUUCUUAGAUGGUAAGAAAACAGAAAAACCUUGUUGUCUUGUUUCUUCAGUGCCAGUAAAUAGAAUGUUUCCAAAGUAUACAUGUAUAUCCCACACAUUUAAUAAAUUGCACUUGAAAAUAUGAAAA